rnacentral:rRNA from 2 species
CCCAACUUCUGAAUGUUGACCUCGGAUCAGGUAGGAAUACCCGCUGAACUUAAGCAUAUCAAUAAGCGGAGGAAAAGAAACCAACAGGGAUUGCCCUAGUAACGGCGAGUGAAGCGGCAACAGCUCAAAUUUGAAAUCUGGCUCUCGGGCCCGAGUUGUAAUUUGUAGAGGAUGCUUUUGAUGCGGUGCCUUCCGAGUUCCCUGGAACGGGACGCCAUAGAGGGUGAGAGCCCCGUCUGGUUGGAUGCCAAAUCUCUGUAAAGCUCCUUCGACGAGUCGAGUAGUUUGGGAAUGCUGCUCUAAAUGGGAGGUAUAUGUCUUCUAAAGCUAAAUACCGGCCAGAGACCGAUAGCGCACAAGUAGAGUGAUCGAAAGAUGAAAAGCACUUUGAAAAGAGAGUUAAAAAGUACGUGAAAUUGUUGAAAGGGAAGCGUUUAUGACCAGACUUGGGCUUGGUUAAUCAUCUGGGGUUCUCCCCAGUGCACUUUUCCAGUCCAGGCCAGCAUCAGUUUUCGCCGGGGGAUAAAGGCUUCGGGAAUGUGGCUCUCUCCGGGGAGUGUUAUAGCCCGUUGCGUAAUACCCUGGCGGGGACUGAGGUUCGCGCAUCUGCAAGGAUGCUGGCGUAAUGGUCAUCAACGACCCGUCU